AUUGAACGCUGGCGGCAGGCCUAACACAUGCAAGCCGAGCGGAUGACGGGAGCUUGCUCCUUGAUUCAGCGGCGGACGGGUGAGUAAUGCCUAGGAAUCUGCCUGGUAGUGGGGGACAACGUUUCGAAAGGAACGCUAAUACCGCAUACGUCCUACGGGAGAAAGCAGGGGACCUUCGGGCCUUGCGCUAUCAGAUGAGCCUAGGUCGGAUUAGCUAGUAGGUGAGGUAAUGGCUCACCUAGGCGACGAUCCGUAACUGGUCUGAGAGGAUGAUCAGUCACACUGGAACUGAGACACGGUCCAGACUCCUACGGGAGGCAGCAGUGGGGAAUAUUGGACAAUGGGCGAAAGCCUGAGCCAGCCAUGCCGCGUGUGUGAAGAAGGUCUUCGGAUUGUAAAGCACUUUAAGUUGGGAGGAAGGGUUGUACGUUAAUACCGUGCAAUUUUGACGUUAUCGACAGAAUAAGCACCGGCUAACUCUGUGCCAGCAGCCGCGGUAA
rnacentral:rRNA from 1 species